GUGUUUGCUCUGUCAGCACAUAUACUAAAAUUAGAAAAAUACAGAGAAAUUGGCAUGCCCCCUGCACAAGGAUGGCACACAGAUUCAUGAAGCAUUCCAAAUUUUU